UACACUAGCCCGUUAAAACAAUAACGGUUUUGUUUGUUUACCGGCUAUAUGCGUGCAAUAAUUAAAUGCGGUUUUCUACUAUACUGCAGCACACUGUUGUUUGAACGAAAUUACACGACAUUAUGCGGCUUGUGCACAUGUACUUAAAAACAGUUUUCGGAACAAUGCGACUUUUCUAAAACUUACCAUACGCACACAUACACACAUACACACAUAAGAUAAUUAUCAAUUAUUUGCGCCCGUGUGCCUGACAGUGUCUGUAUCGGUAUUUGUGUCACGUGCACUCGUGUGAAUUAUCAUAAUAUAAAUCUUUACAAUUUAUACAUUAUAUAUUUAUUCUAUUGAUAUCCAGGAAGUAGCUGUUGAAUACGGGUAGGUCGGUGGGAUUUUAGAGUCGAUAAUAAUAACGA